GAAAUGCGAUACGUAAUGUGAAUUGCAGAAUUCGUGAAUCAUCGAAACUUUGAACGCAAAUUGCGCUCUCGAUUCACGUCGGGAGCAUGCCUGCUUGAGUGUCAGUAACCUCACCUCACACGCCACGCGCGUGUGGACGAUGGACGCCUUACUCUGGGGCUGCGUGCCCUCGUCGUCCGAAGGAUAGCUCUCUCGCGGCACCGCGCAUCCACACAAACACACACGCACACACACACACACAUCGCGCACUCAACCUUUGACCUCAAGUCAGGUAGGAGGACCCGCUGAAUUUAA
rnacentral:misc_RNA from 1 species